CCUGUAUCUACGGACCACGGAGC
rnacentral:piRNA from 1 species